UACGAAGGGGGCGAGCGUUGUUCGGAAUUACUGGGCGUAAAGGGCGCGUAGGCGGCGACUCAAGUUAGAUGUGAAAGUCCUGGGCUUAACCUGGGGACUGCAUUUGAUACUGGGUUGCUUGAAUUCGGGAGAGGAUAGCGGAAUUCCCAGUGUAGAGGUGAAAUUCGUAGAUAUUGGGAAGAACACCGGUGGCGAAGGCGGCUAUCUGGACCGACAUUGACGCUGAGGCGCGAAGGCGUGGGGAGCAAACAGG
rnacentral:rRNA from 1 species